AUGUCAUCCUUGCUAGGCUGACCAUAAUCAGGGGAGAUAGCAUCUUCAUUAUCUGAUAAGAUUAACGGCUGAUUUAUUGUGAGUCUUGUGUCACAUGUUUUCCAUCGCUCGGAGGAGGCUGCAAGGUCUGACCGCUGCACCAAGGGCCAACGUGACCGGGCAAGAAGUAGGGACGAUACAAGUCUAGGACCUGCUGGAGCAGCCCCUCGUCGUGCCAAGCGAGGCGCUCACAAGACACACCAUGGACUCCACCUCAGACGCGCCAGAUUCCAGGCGGCGAAGGACGACGGGACGUCACCUCCUCCUCUUGUUGUGGAAGAGCCUGUUGUUACGCAAGAAGCAGUGGGUCCUGUUGCUCUUCGAAAUACUGUUGCCUGUCGCUCUCUUCUCCGUCAUUCUUUUUCUCAGGCUUCUGCCCGAUUCGGACCUCAAGCCCAUCUACUAUAACAAGACAACAUAUGGUGAAAGCGUGACUGAAGAUGAUUUGCUGAAAAGUGUGUGCUUCGGUAUUGUGAUCGGGGGCAACUGUUAUAUUUCUCCUACCUUCAACGGGCAGAACAAACUCUACUACGGCCCCAACGAGACCUUCCCGACAGACGUUUCAAACUACUUGGUGAAGAGGCUCGGCUGGCCUCCAGAUGCGGUGGAAGCCGUGAACGACCUGGACGAAAUGGAUUACCUAGUGGAGCAAAUGUACUUCGCCACCAACGAGAGCAUUUCUAUCCUUGUCGGCCUCUACUUCGAAGACUUCCCGGUGGAUGACAAGCUGCCGAUAAAUUUGCGCUACAAACUACGCCUUCCAGGUUCCUGGUCCACAGAGUACGAGUACCCCUUCUUUCAGAUGCCAGGGCCGGGAAACUCUAACCUAAGUCUGGUGGGGGGGAAGGACAGCACCCUUGCCCCGUCAAUCUCAUGCACCCCCUUUUCCGGGGAACCGCCAGCGUAGUGCAGACGAAACAUAUGCUCGUCUAUCAAGACCCAGGGUUAACCGGGCAAUCUCUCCCUGUGGGUGCCUGGAACAUCCUGAGCCUCUCAGAGGAUCAGCGACCACCCCAUCUGUCAGCUGGACGCAGGAGGUUGAGAGUGGACAUAAUGGGGAUCUCUGAGACGAGGAGGCCUGGCAAUAGAGAGAUGAAUACUUGAAUAGUGAGGGUUAUACCUACUACUGGUCAGGUCAGAGUGAUGGUGCCCGUCUUAGAGGAGUAGCUAUGACCAUUUCUAGCAGAUUGCAGUCUGUUGUUUGGGUUACUUCGGUUGAUGAGCGUAUGAUGCUGGUGAGGUUGAAGCACACCUUGGGCUUUAUACCUUGAUGUGUGAGCUUGAGGAGAAAGAGAUGUUCGAUGCCAAGCUUGAAUCUAUAGUCGACUAGUGCCCCCCGCACGACACACAAAUUGUCUUAGAUGACUAAUAUAGUUAGUGGCGCUCAUAGCCGGCUAUGAGUUUUGCGUUGGUCCCCAUGGCUCUGGCACCAGAAACGUAAACAAUUCCUUCCUUCUGAACUUCGCAAGAUCCAGAAUUAAGACUGAGGAUUACUGGUUCCUGGUUCCAUAGACUCGAGCCUCCCCGCUGGAUUUGUUACAGUAAUGCUGGCCGUGUGGCAAAGGAGAUUGAUCACAGUCUUGUUAGUACUCGCUGGAGGAUCCUCCAGAACUGUAAUGCUUUCCUGAAAGCUGAGUUCUUUGCCACCGACCAUAGACUGGAUGUGGCAAAAGUGAGGAUACACAUCAGGUCCAAGAACCCCCUCAAGAUGGAACCCCCCAGGGUCCUAUCUUGAGAAGUGCAGUGCAGUGCAGUGAAGUGGUUGGUACAGUGCUUGGUACUUUAGAGGACUAUGGAGAGGUGUGGGAUAAAUUUUAGUGUAAAAUUCUCAAAGCUGCCGAGGAGUGCACUGGAGAGACGCUGCCCCGACAAAAGAGAAAAGAAUUGAGAGGCCAGAAGAGAGGUCAGUUUCGAAGAAGUGUCUUUGAUAGUCUUAAAUUGAAAGAGCUCAAGUCGUAGGCACGAGGAAAUACAGACGGAGGAAAGGUGCUUCAGAGUUUACCAGUUGAAGGGGUAAAAGAAUGAAGAUGCUGGUUAACUCUUGCAUAAGGGAUUUAGAUAGAGUAGGAAUGAGCAAGGGUAGUAAGUCAUGUGCAGCUGUGGGGGAGGCAUGCAGUUAGCAAGUUCAGAGGAGCAGUCAGCAUGAAAAUAUUUAUAGAAAUGAGAAAGAAAUGCAACAUUGUGGCGGAAUUUGAGAACUAGAAGACUGAUGGUAAGAGGAGGGGAGUCGAUGAAAUGAAGAGCCUUUUGACUCUACUCUGUCCAAGAGAGUUAUAUGUGUGAAAGGCAAAGAUUUGUGCCAGACUUUGUUAAAAGCAUUCAAGAUGUUUAAGGCAACAACAAAAGUUUCACCGAAAAGGCUAAGAGAGAAUGACCAAGAGUCAGUCAGGAAGGCAAGACGUUCAACAGUAGAAUGUCCCUUGUGGAACCCAUACUAGCGAUCAGGUAGGAGGUCAGAAAUUGAUAUAGAUGCUCAAGAAUUUUCCAGUUAAGGAUUGAUUCAAAAGCUUUAGGAAAACAGGAAAGUAAAACUAUAGGACGGUAGUUUGAGGGAUUAGAACGAUCACCCUUCUUAGGUACAAGCUAUACAUAGACGGAUUUCGAACAGGAAGAAAAGUGGAUUUUGAAAGGCAGAGACUAAAGAGUUUGGCUAGGCAGGGUGUCAGCACGGAAGCACAGCUUUUAAGGAUUAUAGGAGACAUUCCAUCAUGUCCAUAAGGCUUCUGAGGAUUGAGGUCAGAGAGGACAUAGAAAACAUCGUUCUUAGGAAUUUUAAUAACAGGCAUAUUGAGUCUGAGGGGGAUGAGUAGAAGGAAUAUGUCCUGAAUCAUCCAGAGUGGAAUUUUUAAAGAGAGUUUGAGCGAAGAGUUCAGCUAUAGAGACAGAUAUGAUAGCUGUGCUGCCAUUGGGACUAAGGAGAAGUGGGAAAGAUGAAGAAGCAAAAGUAUUAGAUAUUUUUGGCUAGGUGCCAGAAAAGAUGAAGCUGGGAAAGCUGUGGGUAAGGAUGAGUGUGAUGUAAAAUGUUUGAAAGGUGGUGGAACGUGUAUAAUUGAGUAGUUAGUGAGACUGUUGAAUGUAUGCUAUGUGUCAAGUUUGGUACCAGUGGACUGAGUGAGUGUAUGUGUAGUUCCUCUGUACAAAAUAAAAGGUGAUAGACUCGAGUGCUGAGUGUGAUAGGAAAGGUGUAGGGUAGGGUAUUGAUAAAGAGAAUUAGAAAGAGUACAGAGUGUGUGAUCUGCGAAGAACAAAGUGGUUUUAGGAGAGGGAAAGGGUGUGUGGACCAAGUGUUUGCACUGACGCAGGUGUGUCAAAAAUACUUGGCGAAAGGAAAAUAUGUGUUUUGGGCGAGGGUUAAGCCACCUCAAUACUUAAAACACUUCACCUUUUAGAUCACCCCAGCAUAGAGCAUUGCAUUCAACCCUCUACCCUCUAGCCUUGUAUACAUCUAAUUACUUUAUUCUUACUCACAUUCACUUUCAGUUUCUUCCUCCUGUAUACCCUUCCAAACUCAGCGGUGGGCAAGGCUGGCAGUACGGUACGGUACGGAAUUUUUAACCGUACUCCGUACCUGAAAAGAAUACCGUACCAUAAUUUCGUACCGUACCCCCAGCUAAUUUUCCGUACCGUACAGUACGCUAAAAAUACUGUACCGUAAUUCCGUACCACUAUCGUACCAUCAGGAAAAUAUAUAUACAUACAUAAAAAAAAAUUGUGAAAAAAUAAUUAGGGUACGUCAGUAAUCUGAAAAGGCACAUUUACAAAGUGACUAUACAUGUAUUAGGCCUUAAAUAUACCAUACCAGGCGCUAAUGGGCAGGCAAGAAAGUAAAAAAAAAAAAAAAUGCUUAGGAUGAUCACUUGUUUUAAGCCUGUGGUACGGUACGGUUUGGAAUAUUACUAAAUUUUCCGUACUUGUAUCAUACCGUACCUUACAUUACGAAAAAUAUCGUAUCGUAAUUCCGUACAGUAUUUUUUAUCAAAAUUUCAACCGCACCGUACCGUAUUCCGUACCAUACCGUACCAAACUGCCAGCUUUGACAGUGGGUGAUUGGUUAGUCUGCGGACGCGGAGUCCAGGAAGACGCAGGUUUUCGUCCUGCCCGCCGAUACGAACAAGUUGGCAAUUUUCAGUCAUCGCCGAGUGACCGAAGACUACCCACAUGCUGCCCUGAAUACCAUCUAUCAACACGGACUCUAGAUUCUUUCUAAACAGAGGAUCAAAGAUGAGCUGGCGCCACUAUAAAAACUUGCAUGCGCCAUAACAGGCGGAGUGGUUAGCGUGCGGACAACGCAUUCACCGCGUCAUGGACAACGUCGGUUCGAAUCCCCACGCUACCACUUGGGAUUUUUCAGUCACCGCCGAGUGGCCUAAGACUACCCACAUGCUGUCUAGAGACCACCCAUCAGCCUGGACUCUAGAAAAAAACGUCCAAGUGAAUCAAGAAUGAGUUUCGGGGGGCAGCAUGAGCCAAGCAUAACUGGCGCCACUAUCAAACAAAAUUGCCUUCGCCAUGACGGGCUCGGGCCGAUCACCUGGCCCCUGAA